GUAGGUGAACCUGCGGAAGGAUCAUUAUUGAAUAUUCUUGAUGGGUUGUAGCUGGCUCUUUGGAGCAUGUGCACGCCUGUCUUGACUUAAUUCAUCCACCUGUGCACCUUUUGUAGUCUUGGGGGUUGAGUGCAGUCGACUGUCGGACGGCUAUUGUAGUCUAUCCGGAUGUGAAGAAUGCUGAGUGCGGAAGCAUACGGCUCUCUUCAAAAUGACUUGCAAACCCUCGAGUACUAUGUAUUCAUACACC
rnacentral:misc_RNA from 1 species